rnacentral:tRNA from 1 species
GGGAGCGGAUUGGGUCUGGUGGCCUGACCAGUCUUCAAAACUGGCUUGACCCCGAAAGGGGUUAGAUGGGUUCGAUUCCCAUACGCUCCC